rnacentral:rRNA from 1 species
GACGAACGCUGGCGGCGUGCCUAAUACAUGCAAGUUGAGCGAUGAAGAUUGGUGCUUGCACCAAUUUGAAGAGCAGCGAACGGGUGAGUAACGCGUGGGGAAUCUGCCUUUGAGCGGGGGACAACAUUUGGAAACGAAUGCUAAUACCGCAUAACAACUUUAAACAUAAGUUUUAAGUUUGAAAGAUGCAAUUGCAUCACUCAAAGAUGAUCCCGCGUUGUAUUAGCUAGUUGGUGAGGUAAAGGCUCACCAAGGCGAUGAUACAUAGCCGACCUGAGAGGGUGAUCGGCCACAUUGGGACUGAGACACGGCCCAAACUCCCACGGGAGGCAGCAGUAGGGGAUCUUCGGCAAUAGACGAAAGUCUGACCGAGCAACGCCGCGUGAGUGAAGAAGGUUUUCGGAUCGUAAAACUCUGUUGGUAGAGAAGAACGUUGGUGAGAGUGGAAAGCUCAUCAAGUGACGGUAACUACCCAGAAAGGGACGGCUAACUACGUGC